rnacentral:lncRNA from 1 species
AGCUGGGUGACUGUCCCACCCCUGCCAAUCAAGAUUUAUUCUCAAGAGAGAAAAACAGUUUGUGGUCUGGAGGUCAGAAACAGAGCUGAGGAUGAAAGUACCAUCAGAGGAUUGAGUAUUUGCAUUCCGAAUGUUCUCUGCCAUCUUGUGCUCCUAGAACUCAUGCCCGGCAGGGGCUCGCGGUGGCUCAGUCAGAAAGUCCUUGCCGGCCUGGGUGACUCUGGAGACGUGGAGAGUCAUGCUGAUCUCACGCAUCCAAGAAGCCAGGACCCGAUAACGCGACGUGCCUUCCGGAUGUGGUCACGGCCCCGUGUGCUUGCUCCAGCUUGUCAUUAAAGAGCAGCCUGGCUCUAAUUUGCUGCUGGCAGCUCCAGGGCCCUUGCGCUCUAACGAAUUCCUUCAGUUGUGCGGUGUGGGCUGGCGUGGCUCUGACCACGGCCACAGUCACUGAUUAAGCUGGACUUCGUUAAGUAAUUCCAGAUAAGCAUUCCCGUGCUUAGGACAACUUGUUGGAACCGUUGUUGCCCUUCAUGACGCUGACUCUUCCUCCCCGGGGUCUAUGAUACAAUUUGAUUGAAAACUAGGAAUAAACCAGCCAGAGUUGUUUUGUUUCCCUUUUUUUUUUUUUAAAGAGAAAGAGAGUAAGGGGGGUGAGGAAGAGGGGUCGAGGGGGGAGGGGAGGGGAGCUGGGGGGUGGGCAGAGGGAGAGGGAGAGAAUCUUCAGCACUCUUCAUGCCCAGCACGGAUCUGGUCCGUCUCACAACCCUGAGAUCAUGAUCUGAGCCAAAACCAGGAGUCAGACGCUAACCAACUAAGUCACCGAGAGCCCCUCGUUGCCCUUUUCGAAUUCCGCGGUACCGCAAAGGGAAAGGGAGAAAGGGAGGGAGGGAAUGUUCAGUUCACACCAGCCGCAGUUACUUGGGAAUGGGACCGACCGUGAAGACAGGGGACGCCCCGCACUCCUCUCUCUUGGUACAGCUUGAAUGCUAAUUGCUCUCUCUUUCGCUUUGCUUACCCUUCUAGAAAAGCUGGAGUUCCAUAACUCCUCUUGAAGUGGAUGGAGGGCUCUUGGGAACCAUCUCUCAGGCUGCCCCAUGACAGUUUUGUAGUUUUUUGUGGGUUUUUUUUUUUUUUUUUUUGGUCUUAGUUUUAAAAAUCAGCUGCAGUUCAGAAGAAUAGGGCAAAGGAGGCCAGGUGGGCUCCUGGUAGAAAGUACCAGAGUGUGCUUGACUUAGAGUUGUUGGCCUCCCUGCGUCUCCCCUGGCUGGGGACCUUAGAGGUUACCUCGUCCAAACUUGUCCAACGCGGUUAAGAAAUCUUUGGGGGCGCCUGGGUGGCUCAGUCGUUAAGCGUCUGCCUUCAGCUCAGGGUGUGAUCCCAGCGUUCCGGGAUCGAGCCCCACAUCAGGCUCCUCCGCUGGGAGCCUGCUUCUCCCUCUCCCACUCCCCCUGCUGUGUUCCCUCUCUCGCUGGCUGUCUCUCUCUGUCAAAUAAAUAAAUACAAUCUUAAAAAAAAAAAAAAAGAAAUCCUUGGAGUUUUACUUGGAACAUUCAGUGACCGGAGCCCUCAGCCCCCUCCGUUGCGGCCUCUGCCCACCUCUGCAGACGCAACCUCCUCACUUCCCUUCUUGUUCUCUCCACUCCUGUCAACUCUUCUCUUCCUAUUUUGUCCCUCAGACGCACCACGCUCGCUCCCACCUCCUUGCCAUUCCUCUUCCUAAAG